AACAUUUGCAUGAGUUGUUUGAAUAAUCACGUUGCUGACAAGGCUGUAAUUAACAGAAAUUGAUGCUGAGUUCAGUAUUUGAUAGUGUGUUUUCUCAGCAUUUUAUUGUUGUCACUGCGGGGGCUGAAAUGAAGUUCUGCUCUACUUGUACCUUGACUGGAAUUUGAUGUGCAGGGCUGUGCCAGGAAAAACAUCAGAGAGAGGCUCAUUUUCCCUGUACAGCAGAGAUACUGGAUUACCAGGCUGUCAAUCUAGUCUCCUGAGACAAGAUCUGGGGCUUGGGAGCCCAGCACAGCUAUCUUCUUCAGGAAAACCUGGAACAGCAUACUAUUCAUUCUCUGCUACUAGUUCCAGGAGGAGACCACUCCAUGACUCUGCAGCGCUUGAUCCCUUGCAAGCAAAAAAAGUCAGAAAGGUGCCUCCUGGUUUGCCUUCUUCUGUAUAUGCACCAUCCCCAAAUUCAGAUGAUUUCAACCGUGAAUCUCCUAGUUAUCCAUCUCCUAAGCCACCAACCAGUAUGUUCGCUAGCACUUUCUUUAU
rnacentral:sRNA from 1 species